CAACCAGGAGGUUGGCUUAGAAGCAGCCACCCUUGAAAGAGUGCGUAAUAGCUCACUGGUCAAGUGAUUCCGCGCCGACAAUGUAGCGGGGCUCAAGUACACCGCCGAAACCGUGGCAUUCAGUUUUGCUGGAUGGGUAGGGGAGCGUCGUUCACGAGGUGAAGCCAGCGGGUAACUUCUGGUGGAUUGUGGACGAGUGAGAAUGCAGGCAUGAGUAGCGAAAGACGGGUGAGAAACCCGUCCGCCGGAUGACUAAGGGUUCCAGGGUCAAGCUAAUCUGCCCUGGGUAAGUCGGGACCUAAGGCGAGGCCGACAGGCGUAGUCGAUGGACAACGGGUUGAUAUUCCCGUACCAGUGAAGAACCGUCCAUGUUGAGCCGGUGAUACUAACCGCCCGAACCAUCCCGAACCUCGUCUUUGACGGGGUCGGUGAUGGGGAGCGCGGGACCUGAACCGGGGAGGCAAGCGCAUUAACGGGUGUGACGCAGGAAGGUAGCCGGGCCGGGCAAUGGAAAUGACCUGGUCUAAGGGUGUAGGGCUGCUGGUAGGUAAAUCCGCCGGCUGUAUGCCUGAGACCUGAUGGGCGCCCACAUGGUGGGUGAUCCGGUGAUCCUAUGCUGCCUAGAAAAGCAUCGGCGCGAGGUUCAAACUGCCCGUACCCUAAACCGACACAGGUGGUCAGGUAGAGAAUACUAAGGCGAUCGAGAGAAUCAUGGUUAAGGAACUCGGCAAAAUGCCCCCGUAACUUCGGGAGAAGGGGGGCCCCAACCUUGA
rnacentral:rRNA from 1 species